CAUGCAAGUCGAACGGCAGCACGGGUGCUUGCACCUGGUGGCGAGUGGCGAACGGGUGAGUAAUGCAUCGGAACGUACCCGGGAGUGGGGGAUAACGUAGCGAAAGUUACGCUAAUACCGCAUAUUCUGUGAGCAGGAAAGCAGGGGAUCGCAAGACCUUGCGCUGAUUGAGCGGCCGAUAUCAGAUUAGCUAGUUGGUGAGGUAAAGGCUCACCAAGGCGACGAUCUGUAGCGGGUCUGAGAGGAUGAUCCGCCACACUGGAACUGAGACACGGUCCAGACUCCUACGGGAGGCAGCAGUGGGGAAUUUUGGACAAUGGGCGCAAGCCUGAUCCAGCCAUGCCGCGUGAGUGAAGAAGGCCUUCGGGUUGUAAAGCUCUUUCGGCCGGGAAGAAAUCGCAUGGGUUAAUACCCUGUGCGGAUGACGGUACCGGCAUAAGAAGCACCGGCUAACUACGUGCCAGCAGCCGCGGUAAUACGUAGGGUGCGAGCGUUAAUCGGAAUUACUGGGCGUAAAGCGUGCGCAGGCGGUUUCGUAAGACAGACGUGAAAUCCCCGGGCUCAACCUGGGAACUGCGUUUGUGACUGCGAGGCUAGAGUUUGGCAGAGGGGGGUGGAAUUCCACGUGUAGCAGUGAAAUGCGUAGAGAUGUGGAGGAACACCGAUGGCGAAGGCAGCCCCCUGGGCCAAUACUGACGCUCAUGCACGAAAGCGUGGGGAGCAAACAGGAUUAGAUACCCUGGUAGUCCACGCCCUAAACGAUGUCAACUAGGUGUUGGAAGGGUUAAACCUUUUAGUGCCGUAGCUAACGCGUGAAGUUGACCGCCUGGGGAGUACGGC
rnacentral:rRNA from 1 species